UGGGGAAUUUUGGACAAUGGGCGAAAGCCUGAUCCAGCAAUGCCGCGUGUGUGAAGAAGGCCUUCGGGUUGUAAAGCACUUUUGUCCGGAAAGAAAUCCUUGGCUCUAAUACAGUCGGGGGAUGACGGUACCGGAAGAAUAAGCACCGGCUAACUACGUGCCAGCAGCCGCGGUAAUACGUAGGGUGCAAGCGUUAAUCGGAAUUACUGGGCGUAAAGCGUGCGCAGGCGGUUUGCUAAGACCGAUGUGAAAUCCCCGGGCUCAACCUGGGAACUGCAUUGGUGACUGGCAGGCUAGAGUAUGGCAGAGGGGGGUAGAAUUCCACGUGUAGCAGUGAAAUGCGUAGAGAUGUGGAGGAAUACCGAUGGCGAAGGCAGCCCCCUGGCAAGUACUGACGCUCAUGCACGAAAGCGUGGGGAGCAAACNGGAUUAAUACCCUGGUAGUCCACGCCCUAAANGAUGUCAACUAGUUGUUGGGGAUUCAUUUUCCUUAGUAACGUAGCUAACGCGUGAAGUUGACCGCCUGGGGAGUACGGUCGCAAGAUUAAAACUCAAAUAAUUGACGGGGUCAUGCU
rnacentral:rRNA from 1 species